rnacentral:rRNA from 1 species
GCUUGUCUCAAAGAUUAAGCCAUGCAUGUCUAAGUAUAAACAACUUUGUACUGUGAAACUGCGAAUGGCUCAUUAUAUCAGUUAUAGUCUACUCGAUAGUACCUUACUACUUGGAUAACCGUAGUAAUUCUAGAGCUAAUACAUGCGUAAAUACCCAACUGCUUGUCGGACGGGUAGCAUUUAUUAGAUUGAAACCAAUCGGCUUCGGCUGUAUUGUGGUGAGUCAUAAUAUCUAAUCGGAUCGCAGAGGCUUCGGCCGGCGAUGAAUCAUUCAAGUUUCUGCCCUAUCAGCUUUCGAUGGUAGUGUAUUGGACUACCAUGGCGGUGACGGGUAACGAAGAAUAAGGGUUCGGUUUCGGAGAGGGAGCCUGAGAGAUGGCUACCACAUCCAAGGAAGGCAGCAGG